GCCUUGGUGGUCUAAAGGUUUAGGACGCUCGUACGGAAUGCAAGAAAUCCUGGUUCGAUCCCUGGCCAAGAUA
rnacentral:tRNA from 1 species